rnacentral:rRNA from 1 species
UGGGGAAUAUUGCACAAUGGGCGCAAGCCUGAUGCAGCGACGCCGCGUGAGGGAUGGAGGCCUUCGGGUUGUAAACCUCUUUCGCCAGUGAAGCAGGCCUGCUCCUUGUGGGUGGGUUGACGGUAGCUGGAUAAGAAGCGCCGGCUAACUACGUGCCAGCAGCCGCGGUAAUACGUAGGGCGCGAGCGUUGUCCGGAAUUAUUGGGCGUAAAGAGCUCGUAGGCGGCUGGUCGCGUCUGUCGUGAAAUCCUCUGGCUUAACUGGGGGCUUGCGGUGGGUACGGGCCGGCUUGAGUGCGGUAGGGGAGACUGGAACUCCUGGUGUAGCGGUGGAAUGCGCAGAUAUCAGGAAGAACACCGGUGGCGAAGGCGGGUCUCUGGGCCGUUACUGACGCUGAGGAGCGAAAGCGUGGGGAGCGAACAGGAUUAGAUACCCUGGUAGUCCACGCCGUAAACGUUGGGCACUAGGUGUGGGGGCCCUUUUCC